CGUCUCAGUUCGGAUUGCAGGCUGCAACUCGCCUGUAUGAAGUCGGAAUUGCUAGUAAUCGUGGAUCAGCAUGCCACGGUGAAUACGUUCCCGGGCCUUGUACACACCGCCCGUCACACCAUGAGAGCCGGGAACACCCGAAGUCCGUAGUCUAACCUAUAUGGAGGACGCGGCCGAAGGUGGGUUUGGUAAUUGGGGUGAAGUCGUAACAAGGUAGC
rnacentral:rRNA from 1 species